AUUGAACGCUGGCGGCAUGCCUUACACAUGCAAGUCGAACGGCAGCACGGGAGCUUGCUCCUGGUGGCGAGUGGCGAACGGGUGAGUAAUACAUCGGAACGUACCCUGAAGUGGGGGAUAACGUAGCGAAAGUUACGCUAAUACCGCAUAUUCUGUGAGCAGGAAAGAGGGGGAUCGCAAGACCUCUUGCUUUAGGAGCGGCCGAUGUCGGAUUAGCUAGUUGGUGAGGUAAAGGCUCACCAAGGCGACGAUCCGUAGCGGGUCUGAGAGGAUGAUCCGCCACACUGGGACUGAGACACGGCCCAGACUCCUACGGGAGGCAGUAGUGGGGGAAUUUUGGGACAAUGGGCGCAAGCCUGAUCCAGCCAUGCCGCGUGAGUGAAGAAGGCCUCGGUUGUAAGA
rnacentral:rRNA from 1 species